UUCAUAUUCAGAAUGGACCUUAUAACCUCUUGUGAAUUUAAAUUUCCUUUGCUAAACCUCAAUUUAUGAAAGCAGAUCUUCAGCUUUUACAUCAUUGUCAGCUUCUCUAUAAGGGUAAUACUUCAUUUUAAUAAACUUUAAUUGCUACAUUAAUUCAAUUCAUUAUCCAUGUGGAUUGCCAUUUACUGCUCUUUUAAAAAUCUUUCCAUCUGACUCUGUUUACAAACCUGUAAACAAAGGCAGCUGCUGAAUUUCUUCAGACUAUUCCCGUUUGGGAUGUGCCCUCUACCUGUUGUUCCCAAAUUAAUUAGGGUAGAUGAAACUGCUUGCUUCAUAACUGAUGGAGCUGGUGUCUAUGUAGGAGACAUCUUACAGAAAGUUUAUCAUUUUACUCUCAGAAUGGCCCAUUUAAGUCAACAUCAUAACUAUGUUUUCCAGGUCUGGCGGUGACUAAUUAUUCAGAGCCUAAUGUUUUCAGGUGACGAUAGAUCAAGUCCUGAUGAUUUUGCUCACAUUAUAGAUUCUUUUGCUCACAUUAUAGAUUCUCUUUCUCCUCCACAGAGUAACUUUAAUCAGACACUAGGGGUGCAGGAUGGCAGGCAAUUCUACCUGAUAUGAAAUAUCAAAACUAAAAGCAGCUACACAGAUGCCUACUGAAAGGAUUGCAGAUGUAUAUGUCACCAAGGACAAGAAACUC
rnacentral:lncRNA from 1 species